rnacentral:hammerhead_ribozyme from 1 species
GCACUGUUGAGGGGUCCCACAAUAGGACGAAACAGUCGUCCAGUGC